GUGGCGGCUCGGGCAGUCGCUCCGGUUCGCCGGGGAGGAAAGUCCGGACUGCAUAGGGCAGGGAGUCCUUUUGAAAAGAAGGAUGCGGCGGACAAUAUUCCGCUGAAAGGAUAGCGCAACAGAAAGAUACCGCCGGGACUCCGGUUCCGGUAAGGGUGAAAUGGCGGGGUAAGAGCCCGCCGGGUGUUGGCGAGAGCCGCACCGCAUGGCAAGCCCCUCCCGCAGCAAGACCAAAUAGGGGACCAGCCGUUGCCCGCGGCAUGAUGAGUCCCGGGUUCUGGUCGCACAGACAGAUGAUUGCCGCUUUCUGCAAAGAAAGGCACAGAAUCCGGCUUACAGAGCCGCCGCCCGC
rnacentral:RNase_P_RNA from 1 species